AACCGAUUUGGUCCUAGUCCUAACAUUAAUUAGCCCUAAAACGAUACAUGCAAGUAUAAAACACAACAGUGAGUAAAUAAAABCGCUUUCCUAAAAAGGACAAGCACCAGACUAAGAGCAUCAGGAAAAUAAAAAUUACCCACGACGCUUAGAAAGCCACAGCAGCAGUACCUAACAUUAUACAAUAAGCAAAAGCUUGAUAUAGUUAUAGGGAAGACAGCCGGUAAAUUAUGUGCCAGCCACCGCGGUUAUACAUAAGACCUUAAUUAAUCUUUCUCAACGGUAAAAAGGUGGUUAGAAAUUUUUCUAAAGUAAACGCUAACUUUAGCAGUAAUAAGCUUACAGAACAUUAAUUACAAGAUAUAAAUCACUUUAUAAUCACUAUCGAAACCACUAAAGCUCGACCAUAAACUGGGAUUAGAUACCCCACUAUACGAGCCGUAAAACCCCAAAACACCUGAGAACUACGAACUAAAGUUUAAAACUCAAAGGACUUGGCGGUUUUUUAGAUCUUCCUGGAGGAGCUUGCUAUCUAACCGAUAACCCCCGAAAGACCUCACCAGCUUUUGAAAAUUCAACUUGUAUACCAUCGUCGUCAGUCUACCUCUCAAGAGAAGUAUACCAAACGGUAAUCAGACCCAGCACGUCAGAUCGAGGUGCAGUUAAUAGGCUGGGGAUAAGUGAGCUACAAUACUACAUCUACAGAAACAGGCCCCCCACCACAACUUUGGAUUAUCCAAUGAAAAAAGAUAAGAAACAGGAUUCAGCAGUAAUAACUACUAGAAAAUAGCUAUGAAGCAACCCAAGCUCUAAAAUACGCACACAUCGCCCGUCACUCUCGUCAUUAGAGGAGAAAAGUCGUAACAAAGUAGGCGUAUUGGAAAAUGUGCCUGGAACUCAUCAAUUUUUAUAGUUGAAAGCCACAACAGCAGCUUUUCAAGCUACAAGUUUGGGUUAAACCCCCAAUAGA
rnacentral:ncRNA from 1 species